rnacentral:ncRNA from 1 species
UGUCUCCUCCACCCUCCUCCUUUGGUGUGGAUUUAAGCCCGAAACAUUGUUUCGGGCUUUUUUUC